rnacentral:tRNA from 1 species
GCCUGGGUGGCUCAGUCGGUUGGGCGUCCGACUUCAGCUCAGGUCACGAUCUCGCAGUCCGUGAGUUCGAGCCCCACGUCAGGCU